AGCGAACGUUAGCGGCGGGCCUAACACAAGCAUGUCGCACGAGAAAAGGGCUUCGGCCCCGAGUAAAGUGGCGGACGGGUGAGUAACACGUAGAUAAUCUGCCCUUCAGCGGGGGACAACUGUCCGAAAGGAUAGCUAAUACCGCAUACGUCGGCGGGGACUUCGGUUCCUGCCGGGAAAGCUGCCCUCUCCAUGGAAGGUAGCACUGAGGGAUGAGUCGGCGGUCCAUCAGCUAGUUGGUAGGGUAACGGCCUACCAAGGCUUAGACGGAUAGCUGGUCUGAGAGGAUGAUCAGCCGCACUGGAACGGAGACACGGUCCAGACUCCUACGGGAGGCAGCAGGUGGGAAUAUUGGGCAAUGGGCGCAAGCCUGACCCAGCCACGCCGCGUGAGUGAUGAAGGCCUUCGGGUCGUAAAGCUCUGUGGGGAGGGACGAAAAUACGCUGGCUAAUAUCCAGCGGACUGACUGUACUUCCUUAGCAAGCACCGGCUAACUCCGUGCCAGCCGCCGCGGUAA
rnacentral:rRNA from 1 species